GUGAAACUAGUAGAGGUGUGGCCUGCUAGACGUACCCAUCUCCAAGCUGACCACAGGUCUGUGCCUUCUGCCUGUGUUGGUGUGCCGUAAGCUGCUGGCGCGGUGUGAGGUCCUGGUUCCCAGUGCAGCACAGCUCUUACCAGCAGGGAGACAUUGGAGCAUUUACUUUGUUUACAUCAUGUGGUAACCAGUCCACACGGGUGAGAAGAACCUCGGUUCUCCAGUCCAGUAUCAGGCGUUGAUGGACUGCUCCCUCAUCAGCUCAUGCAUCCAUGCAAAGAGCCAUAUGUAUUUGAUUGGGAAAUGAAGGUCCACCAUCCUGCAGAUGACCCAAGCAUGGAAAGCAACACAGUGUUAUUAUUUGGGAGGGAAAUUCCUCUGAGAAACGAGAUCCAGAUUUCACCACUCGCACACCAGUGACAUGUGACCGUACCUGGUUUGGAAGUCAGCCAUCAGUUAACACAGUGUAUGAGACACUUCUGCACAAAGCUGAAGGAAAUUGGUCAGAGAUUGCGAAGCAGGAGGCCAUCCAUAAUUAUUAUUAUUUAUGUUUACUGUAUGGCAUCUUUACUGUUAUGAUGGGAUACCUACAAUAUCCCAGCGGAUGGGAUGCUUGCGGUUUUAUGACCAACACAGGCAUCGGAUACCCUUCCCUCUUAUCCCCCCCUAACCCUCCCUUCCUGCAGCCUAACACUGACCCCACCUGCAGCCUAAUCCUCCCCAGUGGUACCUAAACCAAAAACCCCCCUUCCCACAGCCUAUGCCUAACCCUACCCGGAGGUGCCAAACCUAACACUCCCUUCCCCGCAGCCUAAUCCUAACUCGCCAUGCGCAGCCUUAACGUAACCCCCCCCCACCUA